CUCCGUUCUCCAGGUGCGGAGAAUGGAGGUUCCGGUUGGAUUACUUUGCAUUUUGCCUGCCGCUGCUACAGGUUUACCGUGUUUAUGCAAGCAUUCCUAUAAAUGAUGCUCCCCUUUGAGGGCGAUAAGUGACAUGUCCUUUGAAGUAAUGUCGGAGGCAUUUUCCCCACUCAAGUGAAGGAAGCUCAGGAAUCUGUCAGACGAUUGCUAAUUUCUCCAUCUGGAACCUGCCCUUUUGUACAGCAGUGAGGCUGGAGAUCGGCAGAACCUGUUUAGAAAAUAAAAGAAAUGCUGCUUCAGGACCAGAUGACAAAAUGAGACACACAGUAAAGAGAGACAGACUCCUCAUUCUUCAUGGAACAAUCUGACUGCAGGGCAGUGAGCAUCGGAAGUUCUGGAAGCUGGGAAGUUCAAGACGGAGGCACUGGCAGAUUCAGUGUCUGGUGAGUGGUCUCCUCCUGGUCCUCGGAUGGCCGUCUGUUUUUGCUGUACCCUCACAUGGAGAAAAAGUUAAGAUUCACCUCAGGAAACCAAGUACAAAACAAACAAGACGUUCUGAUGUUCAGCUCGGAAUCUGACUGUGGAAACCUAAACCACGCAACUGCACGAGCGAGAACGGCAGUAGCUCCGCCCCUUCUGCUCUCGAAGUGGGCGCCGUCUGCAGCUGAGGUUUGUGCACGAAAGCAGAACACGAGUGUGACACCACUUUCUGUCUCAAGAGGAAGAAGUAUUAUGCCUCACCUAGAAUAGACGAUUUCAUUCCUUAAUCCAUCUCAACGUCCAGCAUUUUCCCAAAGGAUCGUAAGAUGUCCAGGUUGAAGCAGAUGCAUGUUUUUCUCCAUCAGUACCAAUUGUCCUCUUAGCCAGAGAGCGUGUGACUGCCAAGACACGCUAGAAUUUGUUGACCCUCCCAGAGAGCUGGAAGAGCAAAGCAGCUCAUCUGCACCCCGUUUCUUCAGCCUGGUGGCAGUGUGACACAGUGCCUCUCACAGGAGUACUUUUCUGAAUCGCAGAGGGACACCGCGCAGUGAAGGUGCACUUCAUCAUAAUCCCCAAUGAACUUAAAGACGGUGACGUGAAAGCGGCAGUCAUGAAACCCUCCUGUGAGUGAGAGGUGCCCUCCAUGCCUAGAAGAAAGCAGCACCCUUAUCUUCAAAGACAACAAUCCGAACACACAGGCCUCGCUAGUUUCCCUGUUUGCUGCAACCGCCUCGUGCUCUUCGGUGAGUCACACUUCUCCAUGGCCGUCCGUUCAUCAUCAGACCCAGCAGAGAAUACUCAGGCCAAACCAUUUCUUUGGGUCUCCCUCAUUUCCUUAUGAAGGAUUCCGUGUCAUACAAGUAAAUGUAAGUUUAAUAAAAGUAAAACUUUUGAAUAACUCCAUAUGCUUUUCUCCUAUUGAUCUAUUUCACACCCAGCCAGGGACCCUAAGAUGGUCAAGGAGAAGUUUGUCCUCCCAACACCAGACAAUUUAACAUCACAUCCCCUCCAAAGAAAGGAGAGGCGAGUGAUCCAAGGAAGGUCAUCAUGUUCCUUCCCAGGCAUUCCCCGAAGGGGGUUAGGAGGAAUCCCAGCUUCUUGGUGUUUGCAGUGCUAUGAGGAUGGGAGUCCAGGAAUGCCAGUCUAACAAGGUCACUAAGACAGACACAGAGAGGCAAGGGACAGGGCAAAUGAGGUGCAGUCUUGACAGCAUUUGGCUGCCUGGAUCCAGUCAUCCCUAAAGCCACACCCGCUCCUGUGAUUUGGUUCCGUAGCCCUGAAAUGCCUUAUUUUUGCAUAAGCCUGAUUGAACCAGUCUCUACCACUUCUAAUAGAAGUUUGAUCAAUACAGACAUCUGCUUUAAGAAUUACUGUAUCAGGGUGAUGGGAAUGCUCCAAGAUUAGGUUAUGGUGAUGACUGCACUCCAUCACUGAGUGGAAAUCAUUAAAUUUUAUAUUUGAAGCAAGUACAUUUUAUUGCAUUAAAUUACAUGUGCAAUAAAGCUGUUAAAAAGUA